rnacentral:rRNA from 1 species
AACGAACGCUGGCGGCAUGCCUAACACAUGCAAGUCGAACGAGACCUUCGGGUCUAGUGGCGCACGGGUGCGUAACGCGUGGGAACCUGCCCUUAGGUUCGGAAUACCUCCCCGAAAGGGGUGCUAAUACCGGAUAAUGUCUUCGGACCAAAGAUUUAUCGCCUUUGGGUGGGCCCGCGUUGGAUUAGCUAGUUGGUAGGGUAAAAGCCUACCAAGGCGACGAUCCAUAGCUGGUCAGAGAGGAAGAUCAGCCACACUGGGACUGAGACACGGCCCAGACUCCUACGGGAGGCAGCAGUGGGGAAUAUUGGAAAAUGGGCGAAAGCCUGAUCCAGCAAGGCCGCGUGAGUGAUGAAGGCCUUAGGGUUGUAAAGCUCGUUUACCCGGGAUGAUAAUGACAGUACCGGGAGAAUAAGCUCCGGCUAACUCCGUG